rnacentral:rRNA from 1 species
UACGUAGGGGGCAAGCGUUGUCCGGAAUCAUUGGGCGUAAAGAGCGUGUAGGCGGCUCGAUAAGUCUGCUGUGAAAGUCCAGGGCUCAACCCUGGAAGGCCGGUGGAAACUGUCGGGCUAGAGUCCGGAAGAGGCGAGUGGAAUUCCCGGUGUAGCGGUGAAAAUUCGUAGAUAUCGGGAGGAACACCGGUGGCGAAGGCGGCUUACUGGUCCAACACUGACACUGAGAUCCGAAAGCGUGGGGAUCGAAACAGG